ACACACACACACACACACACACACACACACACACACACACUCAUAUCCACACAAGUAGACACAGAUCCAUACCCACCUUCACCCUGGUUCACACAAGCCCACUUACAUGAGAACUCUCACAGGGGUCAGAAAUUAACAUAGACUAUCCUGUCCUGUCCUGGCUGAGAGCAUAGGGACCAUACCUAAGCAGACUAGGAAACGGGUAGACGUGUCCGAAGAAGGGCCAUGUCUGUAAACCCCCAGAUGUGGAGGGAAACCCCCAGAUGUGGAGGGAGUGAUGGCAGCAUGGGCCUGCAGGCUGCUGACAGACUGACUGGACCAGAAGCGGUUUCCUGUAAGCUAAAUAUGCUUCCUGGGUCCUCCUGACCUGAGUUAGAAAUCACUGUCUGUUCCUCAGCCGGUUGGGGUGGGGGUAGAGGCUACUAAAAACACCUCGGGAAAGCUGGAGGGGAGGGGGCAGUGGCCACAGGACCCAGUCCCUCCCAGUUGCCAUCAGUGAGACCAGCUCCUCCGCCUGCAAAGCCCGGGGGUGUUGCCCGCCGUGACCUUUGGCCAGCCUCUGGGCUAGAGCAGCCCACGGGAAGGUGGCAGUCUCUCGGCCAGUUUCACCUUACAGGGCACCAGCGCUGGGGGUUCAGAUGAGACAUGUUCUCAGGCAGGAUAGGGAGGUCCGGAAGCAGAGGAGAGAGACUCAGGCCACCAGGCAACAGCGCCCUCCCACUUCCUGGAACCCAAACACAGGUUGGGUGGGGGAGGGGCCCUUUGCGGAGAAGCUCCGAGAAGCCCCUCGCUGGCUCUUAUUCCUGGUCCCUCCCUUCUCCUGGGCCGAAGAAGAGGGAACUCUGAAAUGAACUUGUGGUUUUGCUUUUGUUUUUACGAAGGUCAGGAAAUUGAAGCCCCAAACUCAAGCAAGGAUUUACUGCAAGGACCCUAACCCCAGCUGCAGUUAAGAAGGAAGUUUUGUGUUUCGUGUGAAAGUUGUAUGUGCUCUCCGUUGUCGUCCCUUUCUGAUGAAUUCACAGCAGACGCUAACCGCCACACCCCAUGCCACUGUAGGGUGAGAAAGAGCAGGCGCUCCACAAAUGUGCGCAGAAAGACUAGAGGACGCGGGGGUGCACAGGGAAGUGUCUGCUCUCCCUUGCCAAGAAGACGUGGCUUUUCCAAGAAUGGAGCUAGUGAGAUGAAAUGUCCACCACUGUGCGUGCAAGUGUAUACACACACACACACACACACACACACACACACACACACACGCUCGCUCACUCACACUCAUGUGCACAACACGUGUGUGCACACCCUCAGUGAUGCCUUCCAGUUCCUGCUGACAGAAACUUUUUGACUGAUAUCCGUAAAAGAAUUCCCUCAAAGGAGCAGCUGUGCCCAGCAGCCCGAGGCCACCCUUGGAUUCAUCCUCUUGAGGAAAGAGCCACAGACCCAAGGAGCUGCCAAAAAUAGGGAGAAAAAGAAAGCCAGAGAGGGUACUGGUUUUGUUUGUGGCUCUUUGCUCUUUAAACACGGUUCUGUGUGUGUGUGUGUGUCUCCCUCAUGUGUCUCUCUGUCUCUCUCUCUGAUUCUGUCUCUCUGUGUGUCUCUCUGUCUGUCUCUGUCUCUCUCUCCCCCUUACCCUCUACCCCCAAACACCAUGCAAACAGUCCAGCUACACUGGGCAGUGGGGGUCUCAUUAAAUUUACAAAGUCCAGAAUUGGCCCCUCUGGCUCCUCCUCAAAGAUGCAGAAGAAGCCUAGGCCUCUUGGUCCAGGCCCUGCAGGUGUGGUCUCUUCUGUCCCACAGCCCCAAGCUGGGGCUGAAGCAAUAACACCAGAGUUUGGGGCGCAGCACUACGGUACAGUACUGGCCCAGCACAAAUGAGGCCGCGCGUUCCAUUCCCAGCCUUGUGGGGGUUCAGGGGGCAGUGGUGUGGUCAUUACCACAAACGAGAGAGGGAGAGAAAAAUCCUUCCCGGCCUGCCUGCGAGGAAAGUCACCCACCUUCCCACGGUGCAAACCCCGAGAUUAGGAGUGCCGGGCGCUGGCAGGGCUCGCUUUAACCAACCACCCUCUCCUUGUCCUCUUCAGAGCCAUUUAAGUAAGCGCAGUGAACAGAGUCCGGUCCUUCCCUGGUCGGACCGUGUUCGCGCUGUUGAAAACGGAGCGGCAUGGUCCCCUGAAAACCACUGCCCGUUAGCAAGAAAAAGCAAGACGGCAGCAAACAACUUCCAAACAUUGAUCAUAGGGGUCUUUGGGCCAGGGCUAGGGAUUGCUUCUCGGGAAGUUGGAAGUUUUGGGCCUCUGCAGCGCCACCCAUAAAGCUACCCCUGGUUCCUCUGCACCCUGGAGCCUCUAACUUGCCCGGCAGAAGCGAACCACGUGAUUCAACAGAAACAAGGGCAGCGGCCCUGCUGCCUGACACACAACCUUCCCAAAGCACUGUCUAACUUACGUCUGUGUGCCGUCCCCCCACCCCGGGCCCUCGCCCCUACACACACACACUUAAUUUAACUGCUUCGUUACAUUUUCUUAGGAGCCGGUGGGCAGGAACCUGUAUGGAUUUGUUUCAGAUUUCCAAAUGGGUGCUUCCUGACAAAAUGGCCCCAGCUGCACAUCUGGCAAUGGUUGCCUUUGAAGGGAGCGCUUGGGAGAGACUGUCUUUCAAAGGCCUUUUACCUAAACCUAAUGCGACCACAUGGGUGCGCUCCAGGACCUGCGUUCUGCAAACUGACCAAGGCGCUUUCUUCUGUUGCCUCGCCAGGAAUUUGGACCUAAGAAAGGAACAUUAAGAGUCUGUUGAUUAACUUCUAGAAUACAGUCGGGUUUCACUGGGAGAAGUGGAAGAAUUAGGACAAACUGGCCACUUCCUAUCUAUGAUCCCCACAGCCCUCCGAAUCAAGAUGAGCUAGGUAGGUUUUCUGUUCCUUUAUGCUCCACCCUGCAGAAUGCUUAAGGAAGAAUGUGGAAUUGCCAAACUUGCAAGCAACCUUGCAGCUUCUAUCAUGCUCCACAGCCUGACCUUACCUCUCACCCUGACUCCCCUCCCCCAACACACCCGACUAGAGAUCAAAUGAAUUCCCAUCUCUACUUCCUCCAGCAAUAAACGGUGAGGAUUACAGGGGUCACAGCUAACAGUGCAGUAGCUAACACACUAUCAGUACUCGGUAAACAACUUGCAUUCCAGCUUAGGAACCUGCAGCGGCGACAGAAGCCCCCUUCUCACAUCAGCUGCUAAUACUAGCAAUACUGAUAUUUAUCAUGGCACACACGGCAUUAUGUGACGGCCUUCGCUCUGGUUCUUGCAGACUUCUGGCUGAUAAUGAAAUACACCCUUACAUAUAACAGGUGUGCCACAGCCUGGCUCUGGUCCCAAGAGGCUUUGCACUGCCUUGUUCUGUGGGUUAACUUUGGACUAAAACUAGUGGCAGGUGAUAAGUGCCACUGUAGGCAAGGGGAUUAUGGGAUUAUUAUAAUUAGUUUCACCUGAGUGUUUGAGUGACCUCAACCUUGAGAAGGCAGCUACGAUGACUGUGGUAGUUAACCGUGAACCCCAAACCAACCGCUUCUACAAAGUCUCUGUUAGCCAUAGGGCCCGUGUGAGCCGAAGCUUAGCCCCAAAGCAUAGUUACUGGACUGUAGGUUUCUCCGGAACAGGACAUUUUUGUGUUUUGUGGACACUGGCAGAUACUCAGUAAAUGUCACUUGAACUGCUAGAUGGAUAGAUAGAUAUUCCACAACUGCUAGCCCUGAGAACAGAUCACCAUAUGCUUGAGGGUGAGCUUCGCUUAGCUCCGAAUGCUAGGUGGCCGGCUCAGUGACUCUCAAUGGAUGGCCCUGGAGCAGCAGCGCAGCAUUGACUGAGGGCUUGAUGGGGUUGUAGUGUCCUCCUACUCUAAUCCAGAUGCUCUGGCCAAAAAUUCCCGGGGUGGGACCCAUGCACCUGUGUCCUUACGGAGCCUUCAGGCAGUUCCAAUGUAGAAGAAAAUGUGAAAACCCCUGAGAGAGACCACAUCCUGAAGUGCCCACCGAGUAUGCGGUCCAAAGACUGGCCCUGAAGGCACAAAUGACAAAAGCCGGUACUGACCUUCCCUAGAAGCUGGAUACAACUGUGCAGCAAGCAGAUGGCCUUGUUUCCUCCCCAUUUUACAGACGAGAAAACCACCUGAGCCUACAGAGAGCAAAAGCGCUGUUGUCCAAGGCUGAAACCCAAGCUAAACUAUUUAUUAUUUGUAUGUUUUAGAGACGGGGUCUCAUGUGUACUGGGCUGGUCUUGAACUCAUGAUGUAGCCAAGGGUGAGUUGAAACUUCUGCUGUUCUAGACUCUGCCUUCUGAUGUUGGGAUUCCAGGUGUGUGUCACUGCACCUAGUUUAUGUGGCCCCGAGGAUCAAACCGUGGGGCCUUGUGCAUGGCAGGAAAGCCCUCUACAGCUGAGCUGCCCCCCCCCUGCCCCCCACCCCGGCCCUGCCCCCCGGCCCUGCCAACAGCAGCUCUUAAAGGUCUGCAGGAGACACAGGAAGGAAAAGAACGGUGACGAUUGUCUGAGGAUGUGACAGCGUGGGACUGAGAGAAAGCACUGUGACAAGGCCACGUGGAUGGAGGGUGGCCUUUUGCAGAGGGGACAGUUGAACUAAUUCAGGAAGAAUGAAGAAGGCUUGGCCAAGGGUUCCCAGAGGAACAGGAAGUGCCCGAGUGUAGACUCCCCAGAGUGAACUGAGUAGUUCAAUGCAGCUGGCCGGCUGGCGGGAUAGCCUGCCUUGGAGGGGCCAGAGGGCAGCACAGAAUGGAUCUUCCCGAAGGUGUAGGAGUGUGCUAUAAGACUGUGAAACUAUCUAUAAGCUGGGAAUACAGUUUCUGUGGCAGACAAUGUGCUUAACAUGAGCAGGACUCUGAUCCCAAACAUUCAUGCUUCUCUCUCUCCCUCUCUCUCUCUCUCCCUCUCCCUCUCCCUCUCCCUCUCCCUCUCCCUCUCCCUCCUCCUCUCUCUCCUGCCAUCCUUCCCUCUCUCUCAAUAGGCAGCCAUAGAAGAGAUAUGAGUUACAGGGGUGACAUAAUUAAAUUGGCAUUUUGGCUUCAGGUAGGGCCUAAUAUUCAGGCAGUAUUUACCACAUGACUAACUAUCCAUCAGAUAUUAAUUAAAAAUGCAUAAUUUCUUUUUAAGCUUAGGUAGUGACUAUAAGAAAUAUACACUUAGGGCCUGGAGAGAUGGCUCAGUGGUUAAGAAUAUGUACUGUUCUCGCAGAGGACAUGAGUCUGGUUCCCAGCACCCACAUGGGGUGGAUCACAACUGCCUGUAACUACAGCUCCAGGGGAUGGGGCACCCCUUUCUGUCCUCUAGGACACUGUACUCAUACACAUAUGCAAACACACACAUAUACACAUAAUUAAAAAUAAAAUCUUUUUAUGUAAAAAAAUCUACUUAGAUAAAACCUACCAGUGGAUUUAACCAUUAAAAAGACACCCACAGAAGCGUUCAUUUCUAAGUGUCAGUGUUGAUUGGACUCAGGCCCAGCCAUCCACUGGAGGGAUCCAUAGUUUCAGUGCAAGGCUCAGAGAGCUUGGACAAGUCGGAGACCUUCAUUUGUUCUGUUGAGUCUGCACGGUAAUGAUUCGGAGGUUGAGAGCAGACCAAUGAGAAACCAUCUAGGGCAUGCUAGCUCAGUGGCCAGGUUAGCAGUGCACAGCAAGAGGUAUUGAUUGCAGAUGGCAUCUGGCCUGGGGAGAGCAUGGGUGUUCUCUUGUGUGAAGGCCUUCGGUCUGGGAUGCCUUGUCUCAUCCUGUCCCCUCUCCGGCUCAUUAGAGGGCAGGGGAAGCUCCCGGAUCACGUCCCAUUCUGAAGUAUACCUGUUUUUCUGGGGAGAAGAAAUAGAUCUGCCUUUGACUUUCCUUGGUUGCAACAAUAUGAGAAGGUUUCCAUGGCAAUAGAGUCUGUAGCUGCCCAGCCCCAUCUCUUCAGCCCACCUCAGAGUUCCCAGGAAGUACUAACGGCUUCUCAUCUCAGAAGUUCCUCGUUCUCUGCUCCCCUUCUCGGUGGCCUUCUGCAGAUGCCGUCAGAGCUUGGUCAACCUACCUUCAGAGUGUUCUGGAAAUCUCUGAAAGUUUGUCCCCAGAGCCAACUCUCCCCAGUGAGAGAGGGAAGAUGGCAUGUGAAUCUCCCGUCUCUCUGUGGACAACUUUAAGGUGUCCUCUCCACAUCCCUGCAGGGUCCUUAGUGGGCACACACAGUAGUGAGUGGCAUGCCCAUGGCUACACAUUUGCCCCCCAUUUCUUCCCCAAUAAACCGCUAGUGUCUCACCUUCCUGGGGCAGGGGCCGUGUCGAUACUAGACAUCUCAAGAAGGCUGAGAGAGACCAUGCCAAUAGUUUGGUGGUGAAAACAUGAUGUGGGCAAUGGUUUUGACAUUCUGGAGGGUUGAGAGAAGGCUAGCCCACAGCAGAGAGGUCCAGAGAAUGAAACAAGAGAGAGACGGAUGGAGGAGGCGUUGGUAUGGUAGGAGAGAGUGUGAGUGCCUGUGAGAAACAACGCCAGGAGGUGGCUGAGGACAGCUGGAGCCAGGGUGCCUCAGAAAGUAUGGCCUUUCUGUGGCUGGAAGGGAUGGUAAGGAAACACACCCAUCAGUGACACCCCCACCCCCGACCCCCCGGCUGAACAGACCCAGAAGCUGUCGGCAAUGGAAUCAGGAGAGGCAGUUUGAACAGGAGGUUGGAAAGAGGACCCUGGAGACACCACAGCAUAAUCAGAGAGCUGGUUGUAGCUGGAGUGAGGUCCCAGCCCUUACGUGGGUCUCAGGAAAUGAAGAUGUAUGGAAUGGUCACGAUGGCAUGCCUACUGUUUUAUCUUCAGAACAAACAAAGUUAGUGUUGGGAAUAUGCCUGGGCAAUCUAGGUCAGCAUGGCGCAGAGACGCCUGGGCACUCAUGCUUGUUGCCACGUUAUUCACAACAGCCAAGCUACAGAAGCAGCAUUGAUGCCCAUCAACAGGUGAAUGGAUAAAGAGGAUGUGCUGUGUAUACAUAAUAGUCUUACUCGUCUGUAAAGAAAAAUGGAAUUGUGACAUUUUCC